rnacentral:rRNA from 1 species
UACGUAGGGCGCAAGCGUUGUCCGGAAUUAUUGGGCGUAAAGAGCGCGCAGGCGGUCGUUCAAGUCGCGUGUGAAAGCCCCCGGCUCAACUGGGGAGGGUCACGCGAUACUGAUCGACUCGAAGGCAGGAGAGGGUAGUGGAAUUCCCGGUGUAGUGGUGAAAUGCGUAGAUAUCGGGAGGAACACCAAUGGCGAAGGCAGCUCGCUGGGACGGUACUGACGCUGAGACGCGAAAGCGUGGGGAGCAAACAGG